GGAGGAGGAGGAGGAGGAGGAGGAGACACUGUGCAAAGAGGGAGAGAAGAUAGGGAGUUGAGGAUGGAGUGUUUGUGGGUGGAUCAGUUUGUGCUUGUCUUAGUGAGACUUAAGUGGGCAUGAUUAAUAUGAAUUAAAUAUGAAUGAACCAGAAUAAUGAUGAAACAGCACAAGAUAACAAGAAUGACAAAAAAGACACUGAAAUGACAAUCAGAAAGCGCAGGAAAUGAAUGAGUAGCACAAAUCAUUAUUAUUUUUAGUCUAUUGUUGAGAUCAUAAGAA